rnacentral:rRNA from 1 species
GAUGAACGCUGGCGGCGUGCCUAAUACAUGCAAGUCGAGCGAACAGACGAGGAGCUUGCUCCUCUGACGUUAGCGGCGGACGGGUGAGUAACACGUGGAUAACCUACCUAUAAGACUGGGAUAACUUCGGGAAACCGGAGCUAAUACCGGAUCAUAUAUUGAACCGCAUGGAUCAAUAGUGAAAGACGGUUUUGCUGUCACUUAUAGAUGGAUCCGCGCCGCAUUAGCUAGUUGGUAAGGUAACGGCUUACCAAGGCAACGAUGCGUAGCCGACCUGAGAGGGUGAUCGGCCACACUGGAACUGAGACACGGUCCAGACUCCUACGGGAGGCAGCAGUAGGGAAUCUUCCGCAAAGGGCGAAAGCCUGACGGAGCAACGCCGCGUGAGUGAUGAAGGUCUUCGGAUCGUAAAACUCUGUUAUUAGGGAAGAACAAAUGUGUAAGUAACUAUGCACGUCUUGACGGUACCUAAUCAGAAAGCCACGGCUAACUACGUG